UCGACAUGGCAAAAAGGAGGCAUAUUUGUGCAAUGAACCAACCCUUCGAGCAUAUUCUGCUGAAGCAAAUUAAAAGCUGAAAGCUACAUCUAGCUUCCAUUCAAUGAUAUACAUCAUCAAUUAGCUUGGAAGAAGAUAACUAUCAAGAGGUUGAUUGAAGUCGCUAACUUGCAGAGAAGUGAUGAUAGAACUUAUUCUUCUAAGCUUCUUGAGGACAAGACCUCUACAAGAUUCCAAGCUUAAUAAAUCUCCAUUUAAUCCCUGUCAAAUCACACACCGAUGCAAUAACUUUGCCUGGACCUGAACUGAAGAUAUUAUACAAGAUCUGAUACCUCUAACUGAGACGUCAUCCAACUUGGGUUAUGUUUGUUCAAGUGUUACAAUUUCAACUUGGGUUCUUCAUGGUCUGAUGAGCCUACCAAGGGGGAGCUUGAGUACUGCAGUCCAACAUGUUAUUAUGUCAAAACAUCACCACCUCUACAUGUAAAUUUUUAUGUUGUGAUUUUAUUUGCCGAUAUGAAUGAGGUACUUGAAGAGUAUAUGAUUUAUCAAAUCUGUUAUUGUGGUUAUAGCAACUACAUUUCUCCAAAUUUCAGCUAUCAACCUGUUUUACGUCUUCUACAGGUAUUCUAUUCUUCCCUUUUAUUUUUGGUGCUUUGCUCACAUACUUUGCUUCACAAAAAUCCAGAAUGUUGGAAAAGGUUGACAUGGAA